UUGACCCGGCUGAUUGCAGUGUAUCCUUUCUUUUCUUCCAAAAAGUAAAAUUUUGUUGCGGUCAUGGUAAUCCACUCUCAUGAUUUAGUGGUCAAAAUUUCGGAACACAGUUAAGUUGUUAUUGUUAGUUAUCACCUACUGAUUAUAUAUUAUUACGAGAAAGGUCGUUUAAGGAGCAUAUGGACAGCGGGCCUUUAUACAUAAUAGUAACAAUCAUCAAAGACUUUUUAUCUUUGUUUGAACUACCACAAAAUAAUCUACAUUUUAUAUGAAAAUUAACUGUUCAUCUGGUGCAAUAAGCCGAUACUUAAUAGUGGCACUCAUUAAUGCUAUUAAAAAUGAAAAUAUUUCUUUUACCUUAUAUGUUUUAGAUUAUAGAACCAUGAUGUAGACACCUGGAAGAUUUUCUAUGUAUCUUGAGACACCUAUUUUCCACUGGAAGGAAAUGUGCUAAAGUACAGAAAAAUCCUUACAACACAACUUCAUCAGCAGCUAAUGUAUCUGAUAUGAUGGAGUAUGUCUUUGGUGGAGUACAUGCCUACAUGGAGGUGCUUGAAGAAAGUUUAUUUAAGAGCCCGAAGAUGCGAGGCAAACUGUACAUGUUUGAAGUAGCUGUAAUGAUCUGAAUGUGGGAGAGAUAUCGGCACCAAGAGUUUACAGCAUAGAUUAGGUCUCUUUUGAAUGAAGUUUAGUGACGGUUACAGUCUGAGGAGGUCAUGACCUUUCAAGAGUUUAUCUUUAUUCCUUUUCUUGAAUAUUCUGAAAAGCCUAUUGUCUACAAGUCUAUAACAAUUACAAUUUGAACUUACAAUAUUGAUAUAUACGGAAACACAAUUUCUUUUACUACCAGUUUAUUCUAAGAAUUUCAGGACUUCCAUAAUGUGAUAUACGUUCCCCCUCCACCCCAUAAUUUGUUUUAUCUACAAGAAUUGAAUACCAGCUUUUGUAUAAUUUCAGUAGGUUUACUGAUAUUAUCUCAUUGCCCAGAUAUGGAUGAGUUCAUUGGCAGUAUAAAAACAAAAGGUUUUAUGAAUUUUCUGUAUUGUGCCUAAUAUUUGGCAUUAG
rnacentral:lncRNA from 1 species